AUGGCUUGCUGGCUGUAAGCCUGUGGCUUGCUGUAGGCCUGUGGGCUGGCUACUGGCCUGUGGGCUGGCUACUGGCCAGCCUGUGGGUUGGCUGGCUGGCUACUGGGGCACUUGUAGAUUAUUUAAAGAAAUAAUCCAUGCACAAUAGCCACUACUGCUCCAGAGUAAGUAGUCAAACCGUUUAAGAACAGUUUGACAACUUACCUGGGGUCUGCUGGGAUAUGAGGCUGUAGUAGGGAAUAGGAGCAGUGGUGCAGUGUGUGUGAAAGGUUCAGUGUGUGUGUGGGGGUGUAGUGUGUGAAUGUGUAGAGUGUGUGGGCAGUAUAUGUGUGUGGCAAUGUUAGUAUGGGGGGCUGUGUAUGGGGGUCUGUGUGUAUAUGGGUGGGCAGUGUAUGUGUGUGUGUGUGUGUGAGGCAAUGUGUGUAAAUGUGUAUGGUGUUUAUG
rnacentral:lncRNA from 1 species